rnacentral:rRNA from 1 species
UACGUAGGGGGCGAGCGUUGUCCGGAUUUAUUGGGCGUAGAGAGCGUGUAGGCGGCCAGGUAGGUCUGCUGUGAAAACUCGAGGCUCAACCUCGAGACGCCGAUGGAAACCGUUUGGCUAGAGUCCGGAAGAGGAGAGUGGAAUUCCUGGUGUAGCGGUGAAAUGCGCAGAUAUCAGGAAGAACACCCGUGGCUAAGGCGGCUCUCUAGUACGGUACUGACGCUGAGACGCGAAAGCGUGGGGAGCGAACAGG